rnacentral:rRNA from 1 species
AUUGAACGCUGGCGGCAGGCCUAACACAUGCAAGUCGAGCGGAUGAAUAGAGCUUGCUCUCUGAUUUAGCGGCGGACGGGUGAGUAAUGCCUAGGAAUCUGCCUGGUAGUGGGGGAUAACGUUCCGAAAGGAACGCUAAUACCGCGUACGUCCGACGGGAGAAAGCAGGGGACCUUCGGGCCUUGCUCUAUCAGAUGAGCCUAGGUCGGCUUGUCUAGUUGGUGAGGUAAUGGCUCACCAAGGCGACGAUCCGUAACUGGUUUGAGAGGAUGAUCAGUCACACUGGAACUGAGACACGUUCCAGACUCCUACGGGAGGCAGCAGUGGGGAAUAUUGGACAAUGGGCGAAAGCCUGAUCCAGCCAUGCCGCGUGUGUGAAGAAGGUCUUCGGAUUGUAAAGCACUUUAAGUUGGGAGGAAGGGCAGUAAGUUACUACCUUGCUGUUUUGACGUUACCGACAGAAUAAGCACCGGCUAACUUCGUGCCAGCAGCCGCGGUAAAAC